GAUGAACGCUGGCGGCGUGCCUAAUACAUGCAAGUCGAGCGAACAGAUAAGGAGCUUGCUCCUUUGACGUUAGCGGCGGACGGGUGAGUAACACGUGGGUAACCUACCUAUAAGACUGGGAUAACUUCGGGAAACCGGAGCUAAUACCGGACAAUAUUUCGAACCGCAUGGUUCGAUAGUGAAAGAUGGUUUUGCUAUCACUUAUAGAUGGACCCGCGCCGUAUUAGCUAGUUGGUAAGGUAACGGCUUACCAAGGCGACGAUACGUAGCCGACCUGCGAGGGUGAUCGGCCACACUGGAAGUGAGACACGGUCCAGACUCCUACGGGAGGCAGCAGUAGGGAAUCUUCCGCAAUGGGCGAAAGCCUGACGGAGCAACGCCGCGUGAGUGAUGAAGGUCUUCGGAUCGUAAAACUCUGUUAUUAGGGAAGAACAUACGUGUAAGUAACUGUGCACGUCUUGACGGUACCUAAUCAGAAAGCCACGGCUAACUACGUG
rnacentral:rRNA from 1 species